GGAAUUUUCCGCAAUGGGCGAAAGCCUGAUGGAGCGACACCGCGUGAAGGAUGAAGGCCUAACGGUUGUAAACUUCUUUUCUGAAGGAGCAUAAUGAGAGUACUUCAGGAAUAAGGGACGGCUAAAUACGUGCCAGCAGCCGCGGUAAUACGUAUGUCUCGAGCGUUACCCGGAAUCACUGGGUGUAAAGGGUUUGUAGGCGGCUUGUUAAGUUGGAUAUGAAAGACCGGAGCUCAACUCCGAGUUUGUGUUCAAAACUGGCAAGCUAGAAUCAAGGAGAGGUAAGCGGAAUUCUAAGUGUAGGGGUGCAAUCCGUAGAUACUUAGAGGAACACCAAAAGCGAAGGCAGCUUACUGGAAUUGUAUUGACGCUGAGGAACGAAAGCGUGGGGAGCGAAAAGGAUUAGAUACCCCUGUAGUC
rnacentral:rRNA from 2 species